rfam:Clostridium sp. CAG:58 genomic scaffold, scf225
UCCUCGAUAGCUCAGUCGGUAGAGCACGCGGCUGUUAACCGCGCUGUCGUAGGUUCGAGUCCUACUCGGGGAG